ACAAGCGGUGGAGUAUGUGGUUAAUUCGAUGCAACGCGAAGAACCUUACCUGGUCUUGACAUCCCGGAGACCCUUAGGAAACUAGGGGGUGGCUUCCAUCUGGAAGAAUCUGGAGACAGGUGCUGCAUGGCUGUCGUCAGCUCGUGUCGUGAGAUGUUGGGUUAAGUCCCGCAACGAGCGCAACCCUUGCCUUUAGUUGCCAGCAGUUCGGCUGGGCACUCUAAAGGGACUGCCGGUGUUAAACCGGAGGAAGGUGGGGAUGACGUCAAGUCCUCAUGGCCUUUAUGACCAGGGCUACACACGUACUACAAUGGCCGAUACAAAGGGCAGCGACACUGCGAGGUGAAGCCAAUCCCGUAAAAUCGGUCUCAGUCCGGAUUGGAGUCUGCAACUCGACUCCAUGAAGUUGGAAUCGCUAGUAAUCGUGGAUCAGCAUGCCACGGUGAAUACGUUCCCGGGCCUU
rnacentral:rRNA from 1 species